AACAAAGUUUAAAGAAUUAAAAUGUGGUGGUGGUCAUAUAUAAUGGCAACCUAAUUCGCCUCCCCCUCGCUCACGAAGUGCAUGUCCGCCACUGCGCUUAUAAGUCCAUCUCGACUAGGCCCUUUGCAGACGCUCUUUGUGGCAUGGUAUGGAGAGCAGAAACGUGUGUAGAUACAACUUCUAGAGUCGCAUUUUACAAUAUUUAUUUUCUUUGAUUAUUACAUCAUAAAAUAUUUCUUUUACCGCUAUUAAUAUCUUUACAAUUAAUCCGCUAUGUAUAAAAAUAAUCAUUUUACGUAUUCAUCAAUACCUGGGUUCCAGUUUUUGUGCUGUGCCCUUAAUACUCAAUAUUCCUUUGCAAAGUAACAAGUUUGAUCUUCCACUACAAUAUUAUGAGUAAUAUGACGCUUGACAUGGCAAUAUACUACAAUAAUUAAAUCUAAAACGUAGUUCAUUGUCAUUGAUUAAUGAACGCUCUACCAGUCACUGGUCAGAUGCCGAUGACGUAAUAACCUAGGGCAUUCAAGCCUGGUGCGAAUAUACUAGUGACUUUUCAACACGGGUUGAUGGUAAUUAUUUGAUUUAAUUCAUUAGUACAAAAUUUCACAUUUAAAAAUCAUCCAGUCUUUUAUCAGUUUUUGUGGAUUCCCUUCUAAUCAUGGCUCUUGUAUUGCCAACACCACACAGACCAACUGUUCUCUUUCUUCAAACCUCACACACAUUCGUUAUGACAGCAAUCCUGUCCACAUAUGAUAACAAAAUACAUUAACAACUUCUGCUAUGAAGUCGUCACCAGACUUGGGAAUAACUCGCUCAAUUUUCUUAUUUUCGUCAGCCGUGAUACGAUUUACGAUCUUCACAUCCUACAUAUAUCAAAGAAAAAUUUCAGUGUUGAACUCAACGCAAUAUUUAAGUUAUUUCCAACAAGAAGUGGGUAAUAUUUUACGCGUACGAUGAUUUAUUCACCAAAGUGGAGGUGAAUUGAUGAUUCCCUUAUUACGUUUUCGAAGCGCUUUGCAUUGUAGUUAUAGUGGUAUCACUGAUAAAAAUAGCGGCCUCGAAUGAAAAUAUUGAAUGUUUUCGCGAAUAUUUUGCUGUUGGCUAUCGCGCACCUGACCCUAGCUUUUUUAAAAGUUCUUGCACGGGUCAGGACAAAAAAUAAGCCAUCUUGAAUAUCAGUGAUACUACUAUAAC